GCUCCAGUGGCGCAAUCGGUUAGCGCGCGGUACUUAUACAGCAGUAACCUGCGGAGCCAUGCCGAGGUUGUGAGUUCGAGCCUCACCUGGAGCA
rfam:Tetraodon nigroviridis, WGS project CAAE01000000 data, contig: CNS0BYT8, chromosome: undetermined